rfam:Tritrichomonas foetus strain K scaffold_461, whole genome shotgun sequence.
GCUUUGAUAGCUCAGUCGGUAGAGCGUAGGUCUCAUAAUCCUAAGGUCGUGCGUUCGACUCGCGCUCAAAGCA